CGGCGAUGGAAUGUUCCAUUAUGUCAAGGUGAAAUGCAGUGGAGAUCGUGUGUGCUUCUCUUUUGGCUUUUUCACUAUAUUUUGAUUUUUGAAUAAACAAGUGUCGAGGUUACAAGGAAAAUGGAGAAAACUGAGUAUCGUGCUGUCAUAAAGUAGCUUCAUUUGAAAGGCAUGACUCCAUCAGAAAUCCAUGAAGAUAUGGUGAGAACCUUAACAGACAAUGCUCCUUCAUAUCCAACAGCCAAAUGCUGGGUAAAUGAAUUCCAGCGUGGCAGGGAAAGUGUGGAAGAUGAUCCCAGACUAAGGAGACCUCAAACUGCAACCACCGAGGACGACAUUGACCUUGCUCUUGGUAUGAUAAUGCAAGAUCGUCGAAUAUCAUGUCGUCAGAUAGCCGAGAGACUGGGCAUCUCAACUGAAAGAGCAGACAACAUUGUGACAAAAGAACUUGGGUUCCCAAAGGUUUCUGCAAGGUGGGUCCCUCGCCUUUUGACUCCUGAACAGAAACGCACAAGGUGCACUUUGUCCUCGAGCAAUCUGGAACUGUCUGAAGCCGACGAAGAGAAUUUUCUUGCUCGUUUCAAUUCGAAAGUUCGGUUCAUCACUACCAGCCUGAAACCAAAGAACAUGUAUGUAUGUAUGUAUGUAUUUAUGUGCGUGUUUUUGUGUCUGUGUUUGUCCCCAUACCGUCGCUUGACAACCGAUGUCGUUGUGUCUACGUCCCCGUAACAUAGAGGUUCAGCAAAAGAAUUCCGAUUGAAUAAGCUUUACGAUUACAAGGGACGAGUCCUGGGGGUCAAUUUGUUCGACUAAAAAAAAAAAAAAAGCCCUUUAAGGCGAUGCUCCAGUAUGGGCGCAGUCAAAUGAACAAAAAAAUAUGUAUGUGCGUAUUUGUUGUGCAGCUAGUCUUACUGCUAAAAUUAUUGUAGUAGUAGUAGUAGUAGUAGUAGUAGUAGUAGUAGUAGUAGUAGUAGUAGUCGUAAUUCUUUUGCACCAACCGGAAACAGCUGCAAUUAGGUAGGGAGAAAUGAAAUGUUUUGUCUGUGCGUGCAUGUCUGGGUUGGGGAGUGCGACACGAAUUUGUCUGCGUAAGUGAGCUUCAGUGUAAAUAUUUGAUUAGGUGCACAUGACUGUAUGUAUGCCUGUCGAUGUGUGUGUGUGUGUGUGUGUGUGUGUGUGUGUGUGUGCGUGUGUGUGUGUGCGUGCGUGCGGGGGCGUAAGAGCGGCGAUGCACCGCCGGGAAGAGUUUAGUCGAACAAACAGGCCACGCUCCGUUCUUAAUUUUUAAGCCUGGUGCUUAUUCUAUCGGUCUCUCUUUUUGUCGAGCCGCUGUGUUACGGGGACAUAAACAAACGAACACCGGUUGAAAUGAAAUAAUCAGGGACAAGCGUAGACACAACACAUAGAUACACAUACACACACAUAUGUGUAUAUGCGUGUGUGUAUACAUACAUACACACACACACACACACACACACACACACACACACACACACACACACACAUAUAUAUAUAGGGAGAAUUUACGGAAAAACAACAUACGAAGACAGGUGGUGUAAACAGCAAAUGGAUGUAUCAGUAUAACGCUCGGGAAUAGAGAAAGUCUUUAACGUUUCGAGCCUACGCUCUUCAACAGAAAGGAACACAGAAAGAAACAAGGAAAUAAAAAAAAAUAUGUGUAGUGGUCAGCGAUGUAUCAUACAUACAUACAUACAUACAUACAUACAUACAUACAUACACACACACACAUAUAUAUCUAUACAUGCAUAGAUACAUGUAUAACAUAACAUAUUUACAUAUAUAUAUAUUGUUUAUUAUAUAUAUGUAUACAGUAAACUGUUGUUAAUUCAUAGUAAUAAGGCGGAAGUUUGUCCGUUUAAACUUCACCGAUUGUUCCAUUUAACCGAUCGUAGAGGUUAAUGUUUGAAGCAUAACCACAGCUUAAUACUUUACCCCAAUUUUGAAAUCUUUUAAAUAAAAUUUUGCAGAUGGCGCAUACCACAA